GACGAACGCUGGCGGCGUGCCUAAUACAUGCAAGUAGGACGCAGUUGCGAACGGGUGAGUAACGCGUAGGUAACUACCUAUUAGAGGGGGAUAACUAUUGGAAACGAUAGCUAAUACCGCAUACUAGUAGAUGGACCUUAGUUGUAUUAGCUAGUAGGUAGGGUAAUGGCCUACCUAGGCAACGAUACAUAGCCGAGCGGAGAGGGUGGUCGGCCACACUGGGACUGGGACACGGCCCAGGAUCCUACGGGAAGCAGCAGUAGGGAAUCUUCGGCAAUGGGGGGAACCCUGACCGAGCAACGCCGCGUGAGUGGAGGAGGUUUUCGGAGCGUAAAGCUCUGUUGUUAAGGGAGCGGUACUUGACCAGAAAGGGACGGCUAACUACGUGCCAGCAGCCGCGGUAAUUC
rnacentral:rRNA from 1 species